AUUUUUAUAAGAGAGGGCGUGCGCGCCCAGUGUCCUCCCUAAGAGUCUCCGCUUAAAGGAGGUUUGUUUCGCGAGUUUAUUUCCUCAGAGAAACCAAGCGGAUUGAAGCGCUGUCUACAUUUCAAAUUAGUUUAGGUCGCGUGAGUCUGUCUGGAUUUAAAAGAAUGCACCACAUAUAUGAAAAUGCGCACGUGAGCAGAAAUCUGAAUUAUCACAGUUCUAGCACACAUUCAUUGCUAGCUUUUUAUGUAGUUUUAUGGCCUUUAUUAAACAGACAUUAGCCAAUCUUGCCACACGUUUCCAAGUCCUAAAUCAGAGGGCUAAUUUUUUUUUUUAAAUUCAUAGGAUUUUGUUGUUUUGUUUUUGAGACAAGGUUACCUGUAGCCCAGGCUGUCCUCAACUGCACUGUGCAGCUAAGGCUGAGCUUGAACUCCUGAUCCCUCUGCCUCACCUCCGGAGAGCUGGGAGGGACUGCACGGUUAUGCCACUAGUGCCUGCUUCACAGAUCUUUUAUUCCCAAUGGAGUACCAGGCAAAAAAAUGAGAGGAUGGCCAGCGUCCUGCUAAGUUGCCCAUGCAUACACCACCAUACCCAGCAUCUGA
rnacentral:lncRNA from 1 species